GGGUUUGAUCCCUGGCCUUGCUCAGUGGGUUAAGGAUCCGACGUUGCUGUGAGCUGUGGUGUAGGUUGCAGAUGCGGCUCAGAUCCUGAAUUGCUGUGGCUCUGGCGUAGGCCAGUGGCUACAGCUCCGAUUGGACCCCUAGCCUGGGAACCUCCAUAUGCCGUGGGAGCGGCCCUAGAAAUGGCAAAAAGACAAAAAAAAAAAAAAUUAAAAUUAAAAUCAAAAAAGGAAAACCGGCCUAAGUGGCUAACCAAGAGACUAAAGAAGUUCUACUGCAGAAAACGGAGAAACCAAAAAACGAGAAGAGCCCAGCCUCUGAUGAAGCAGGAGAGAAAGAAGUCGCCUCUGAUUAAUACCGCAUGCCAGAGGAAGGGACAGAAGGUCCACUGGAUGCAGAGAGUCUGAGAGAAGAUCUUCCCAGUAGUGAACCUGCCCUCAUCUCCGGGGAACUGCAAGGAAGGUUCCUCAGUGCCAAAGAAAGAAAGAGAAUCUGUGAUCUCAAGUAGGUCCUUAAAGAAAUUUGCAGACUAAUUUCACAUUUAAGUGGGUUUUUUUUAAAAACCCAAAUCGUAAAUUUAGAUUUAAGUGACUCUGAGGAGGAGAGAAUAAUGUUCCGGGCAGGCACUUGGCAAAAGCAAAUGCAAAUCCACUCUUGAAAAAUGUCCCCUUCAUCCCAGGCACCAAAGAACUCCGCUACAAAUCAUUUUCCAAGGAAAGUUAGUAACUCAUAAUGAAAAAUAACUAAACACAAAAGGAGAUAAGACACUAUGAAUAAGACCAGAAGAAACAACAGCAGAUAUUGUAAUUACGUGACACAGAUUAUAAAACAAUUUUGCUUACUAUGCCUAAAGAAAUAAAUGAGAGGAUGGGCUGGCGGUGGGUGCAGGUCUGCAGGCUGGAGCUGUGGGUGGCGGGCCACAGUUGGUUGGGUUGAACCAGGCCAGGCUGGGGCGAGGAGGUGGAGGAGGGGUAGUAGUGAGCAGCAGUGGAGGCUGCAGGAUUCAGU
rnacentral:lncRNA from 9 species